rnacentral:rRNA from 1 species
CCUACGGGUGGCAGCAGUGAGGAAUAUUGGUCAAUGUGCGCGAGCCUGAACCAGCCAAGUAGCGUGAAGGAGGACUGCCCUCCGGGUUGUAACCUUCUUUUAUAAAGGAAUAAAGUGAGGCACGUGUGCAUUUUCGUAGGUAAUUUAUGGAUAAGGAACGGCUAACUCCGGGCCAGCAGCCGCGGUAAUACGGUGGGUUCGAGUGUUAUCCGGGUUUAAUGGGUUUAAAGGGAGCUUAGAGGGGUUGCUAAGUCAGUUGUGAAAGUUUGCGGGUCAAACGGACAUUUGCAAUUGAUACUGGCAGUCUUGAGUACAGUUGAGGUAGGCGGAAUUCGGGGUGUAGCGGGGAAAUGCUU